rnacentral:lncRNA from 10 species
UACAUAUGUAACUAACCUGCACAUUGUGCACAUGUACCCUAAUACUUAAAGUAUAAUAAUAAUAAAAUAAAUAAAUAAAUAAACAAACUGAAAACCUAAAAAUAAAAAAAAAUUUAAAGCAUGGUUUCAGGUUUCAUCAGCUCUGGUCAGAAAUAUAAAUGUUAUACCUUAUAUUUAUAUUUUACAUAAAAAUAUAUAUUUGCCAAUGUCAUAAAACAAAAAAAAAGGAAAUAGGUCCAAUUACUAUUCCUUUGAAUCUUCAAUAUGUAAAAGCAGUAUCAUUAAAAAAAGCAAAUAACUUAAAAGCUUGAUACUCUAAUUAGCAAAAAGUGGAUUUUUUAAUGUAAAAAAAGUCAUUUCCUUCCAGAAGUAGAUUUUUCCUUUUAUUUUCAGUUGAAAUGUAAUAAUUGUACACAUUUAUGGGAUACAGAGUGAUAUUUUGAUACAUGUAUGCAAUAUGUAAUGAGCAAAUCAGGGUAAUUAACAUAUCCAUCAUCUUCGGCAUUUAUCCUUUCUUUUUGUGGUGAGCAUUCAAAAUCCUCUCUUCUAGCUUUUUUGAAAAUAUACAGUAAGUUAUUGUUAAACAUAUUCACCUGACACUGCUACAGUACUUUACAAUUUAUUCUUCCCAUCUAGCUGUAGCUUUGUCUGUUAACCAACCUCUUCCUAUCAUCCCCUUCCUCAAUCUUCACAGUACCUCAUAACCACUAUUCUACACUCCUACAAACUCAAGUUUUUUUUUAGUUCUCACAUAUGAGUGAGAACACGCAGUCUUUAUCUUUCUGUGCUUGACUUACUUCACUUAACAUAAAGUCCUCUAGGCUCAUCCAUGUUGCCAGGACUGGCAGGAUUUCAUUCUUUUUCAUGGCUUCUUUUUUAUCCCAUUGUGCAUAUAUAACACAUUUUCUUUAUCCAUUCAUCUGUUGAUGGACAUUUAGGUUGAUUCCAUGUCUUAGCUAUUAUGAAUAGAGCUGAAAUAAACAUUGGGGUGCAGGUACCUCUUCGAUAUACUAAUUUUUUCUCCUCUGGAUAAAUACUCAGUAGUGGGAUUGCUUGAUUGUAAGGUAGUUCAAUUUUUAGUUUUUUUGUGGAACUUCCGUACUGUUUUCCAUAAUGGAGGUAUUAAUUUACAUUCCCACUAAGAGUGUACAAUAGUUGCCUUUUCUCCACAUCCUUGCCAGCAUUUGUUAUUUUCUGCCUUUUGAUGAUAAAUAUUCUAACUGGGAUGAGAUAUUUCACUGUGGUUUUGAUUUGCAUUUCUCUGAUGAUUGGUGAUGUUGAGCAUUUUUUCAUGUACUUAUUGGCUUCUUGUGUGUCUUCUUUAGAGAAAUGUCUACUCAGACCCUUGGCCCAUUUUUUAAUGAUUAUUUGUUUUCUGUUGAGUUGUCUGAGUUCUUUACAUAUUCUGAAUAUUAGUCCUUGUCAGAUAAAUGGUUUGCAAAUAUUUUCUGCCAUUCCACAGAUUAUGUCUUCACUCUGUUGAUUAUUUCCUUUGCUAUGCAGAAAAUUUUCAGUUUGAUAUAGUCCGUUUUGUCUAUUUCUGCUUUUGUUGUCUAUAGUUUUGAAGUCUUACCCAAGAAAUCUUUGCCUAGACCAAACUCCUGAAGUAUAUUCCCUAGGUUUUCUUUCCCUGUAGUAAUUUUAUAGUUUCAGGCCUUAUGUUAAGUCUUUAAUCCAUUUUGAGUCAAUAUGUUUUGUAUAUGGUUAGAGACAGAGGUCUGGUUUUAUUCUUUCACAUAUGGAUACCCAGUUUCCCAGAACUCUUUAUUAACGAGGCACUUUUGUUAACACUUUAUUAACGAGACACAUUGGGGAAUGUAUGUUCUUGGCAACUUUGUUCAAAAUCAGUUAGUUGUAAAUGUGUGAAUUCAUUUCCGGUUCUCUAUUCUGUUCCAUUGGUCUGGGUAUUGGUUUUUAUACCAAUAUCACAUUAUUUUGGUUAAUGUAGCUUUGUGGUAUAUUUUGAAGACAGGGAGUGUUAUGCCUCGAGCUUUGUUCUUCUUGCUCAGUAAUGCUUUGGCUAUUUGAGGUUUUUGGGUUGUUCAUGCCUCUAUAUGAAUUUCAGGAUUUUUUUUCUAUUUUUAUGAAGAAUAUCAUUAGUAUUUUAAUAGGUGUUGCACUGCAUCUGUAGAUUGCUUUGGGUGGUAAGGUCAUUUAAAAAUAUCAAUUCUUGCAAUCCAUGAGCUUGGGAUGUCAUUCCAUUUUUUGUGUCCUCUUCAAUUUCUUUCGUCAGUGUUUUGUAGUUUUGUUAUCGAGAUCUUUCAUCUCCUUGGUUAAAUUUAUUCCUAUAAUCUUUCUUUCUUCCGUCCUCUCCUUCCCCUUCCCCUUUUCCUUCCUUCCUUCCUUCAUUUCUCUUUCUUUCCCUCUCCUUCCUCUCUUUUCCUUCUUUCCUCUUUUUCUUUUUUCUUCCUUAUUUCUUUUUUCUCCCUUCUUUCUUUUUUCUCUUUCUUUCCUUUCUUUCUCUCUUUCUUCUUUCUUUUUGUUACUCUUGUACAGAAGAAAUUUUUACCAUAUCAGAUUAGUUCUCUCAUUCAUGCCAAUAUCAAGUGAGCCUGUAUUACUCUUUAAAAAGUCAUAAAAUACUAAAUGGUAACACUGGUAUAUUGAAUAAUCAGCCCCAAAGAUAGUCAGGUUCUAAUUCCUGGAAUAUGUGAAUACAUAACUUUACAAGGCAAAAGAGACUUUGCAGAUUUUAAGGAUCUUGAGAUGAAAAAAUUAGCAUGGGUUAUUCAGGAGAUCCCUAAAUGUAAUCACAAUUGUCCUUAUUAAGAGUGAGACAGGGCCGGGCGCGGUGGCUCACGCCUGUAAUCCCAGCACUUUGGGAGGCCGAGGCGGGUGGAUCA